AAAAGUUGUUUGAAGGUGGUCAUCGAGCGAGAGAAAGAGAAAGCGAAAGAGAGAGAGAGCUAGACAGAGCGCGUGAAAGUAGGGGGUUUGUUAGAAGCCGAAUUUACCUUUGCCCCCACCCGAGAUGUCUUACAAAUUCGAUUGAUUACGAUAGCUUAACAGGUUUUGGAAUCUUUUGGCAGUAUGAAAUGAUGCAGUCAAAAUGGCUUUUCUCCUAAUAUGCUUUCACUUCGCCGCGCAAGUAUUCAGUGAAACUCUGCCCGCUCUGCCACAGGAUGUCCUGUUUGAUAACUGGCAGGUGACGUGGACUUCUGCCUCAGAAGAGAGCACUGUCACUUACACUGUGAGGUACAGCAGCUUUGACUCUGAUCUUUGGAAAGAUGUCCCAACCUGCAAGCAGAUUAAUUUUACUUCGUGUAAGGUCACUUCCAUCAAAGCCGAGGCAGAGCAUGGCUGUGUUAUGCUGGGUGUUCAAGCAGAACGGCGUGGGCUGACUUCAGAUCUAGUCAGAGCCUGUAGCAGACAAGGUACCCUUUGUAGUCCUGAAGUUCGCCUGAGUGCACGCCCUGGUUUCUUCACUAUUUAUUUAAGUAGAAAAAAUGGGAUUGCUCUGGAAGGUGACCACAUAAAACAUAGGAUUUACUUUGGAAAAGAGGGAGAACACUUGGAGAAAUAUGAAGAUGCUGUGUCCUCUGUGUCCAUUAACAAUUUAAAGGAGGGAGAGCGCUACUGUGCAAAAGUGCAGUACACUUACUUUGACCAUCCUGUCGGGCUGUCCAGCUGCACCCAGUGUGAAGUCAUCCCUCAGUCAAGCCCAGGAACAAAACAAAUUGAGAAAGGUUUUGCCGUAGUGCUUGUUCUUAUUUUAAUACCAUUCAUAGCAUACAUCCCGCUGUUUCAGAGGAGGAGAAUCAAGGAGUGGUUUCAACCUUCUUACAAGAUCCCAGAUAUUGUUGCAGUGCAGACAUGCGUCAGGAGGGUGGAGAGCAGCGGACUGAGCACGCAGCCUUGGGGGGCCCCCGUGCUCAGCGUGAUGCUGGCGGAGAUUUUGUCGCCAACAUGUACUACCUGUGGCCUCUGACAGAGGAAGUCCAGUAACCAGUUGCAGAGGUCUUCAUUGAAGCACGUGAGCUGUCUCUCAUUCAAAUCUCGAGCAACAGCCCAACUGAGGACUUCUCUGAUGUUACAAGCAUGGAGUCUCGAGGACAGUGAAUGAAGCAAUAUUUUAUCCACUCUCACAUACUACAACUAAACAAUUUAUCCCAGUAGUAUGAAAAGUAUAUUAAGGAAAAAAAUGAAAUGAUAGACUACUUGGUAAUAGAAAAAUAGCCUAGCACUAAAUUGCAGAAUUGGUUUAAGGACUUUGUCUUCUGAGUGACUUCACCAAGAUUUCCACUGCAGGUCCAAUGCCUAUCCUGUGUUCGAAUGUGUCACUUUAAUUGAAUCCGUUCACCAAUUGCAUUGCAAUAAGCAUCAGAACCAGGCAACUCAAAAGUAAACAAAUAUAUAAAAUGUGUACAACCUUGCAUUGACAGGUUAUGUCUACUCAACCUGUAAAGGUUGUAAUGGUUGCAUUUUAGAUUCAUCCUGUUAUUCCUCCCAAAAGCUAAAUAUCCAUAGUUUUGUGAGUAUUUUAUAUACAAAGUAUACAACAAUGGGUCUCAACUAUUGUCACCUUGAGAACCGCAUUAUACUAUUGUUGCAAAGUUGCGACACACUUUAUUAGAAGUUAAGAGAAUAUUUUGUUCGAUGAAAUGUAGCCUCUGAAAACACACAGUAGAAUGCUGUUUAAAAAGAAUUUGAUGCACUGCCAAAAGCAUAUUGCUUGCCUUGAUGUCCGCCAUCCAGAGGCUGAGUUGCACUGUAUUUGUUUACUGUCACGGGGGUAGAAAAAAUCAAAAUAUGAAUACAUCCAACUGUUUUACUCGCUGUCGGCGACGCACUUCUGUGUCCCAAUCGACCAGUUGAGAACCCAUCCAUCCAUCCAUCCAUUUUCUAUACUGCUUGUCCCCAUGGUGGUCGCAGGCAGUAGGCGGGGGACACCCUGAACCAAUCGUAGGGACAGAGACGAACAACCAUUCGCACUCACACCUAGAGGGAAUUUGGAGUGCUCAAUCGACCCACCAAAUAUGUUUUUGUGAUGUGGGAGGAAACCGGAGUGCCCGGACAAAACCCACACGGGCACGGGGAGAAAAUGCAUACUCCACACAGGCAGGGCUGGAGGUGGAACCCGCACCUGUGAGGCAGAUGUGCUAACCAGCACGCGACCGUGCCGCCCCAGUUUUCAUGGCUGGUGCGAUUUAUACUCCGGAGCGACUUAUACUCCGAAAAUUACGGUAUAUGUAUGGAGAGUCCAAUAAUUUAAUAGAAAUAAAUACUAAAUAUUCUUUAAAUUGUAUUCCUUUUUUUAAAUAAAAGUGACAGUUUUUUAGACGGUGUAAGUUAUUUUGUUUACUGUUUUAGACUAGGUCUAUAAAUAUUGCAACACUAAGAACAAAGUCACUGUCAGGGUUUUCCAAACUAUCUUGAUCUAUGAUUAUGUUGGAAUGUAUGUAACCAGUAAUAAAUAACUUAGCUUGUUCCAUCCUACACAAUGUCGUAAAACAUCCCCUGCUCUGCUAAUCUAGAGGUCAAGGGCUUUUUAACUUGUCUAUUCAGUCUACUAUCACCCCCACCCUUUUUCUCUUAAUAAAGAUGCUCUUGUGGGAAGCGAGAGUCAGACUUCAUUCGACCAUCGCUGUAAACACAGCGACGAGUGAACUCUCCGCCUGCAGGUGCCCAAAACGACUAACUUGUCUCCGUGUGGUUCUUGCAAAAUAAGUUAGAGUGAGCACCACUCUAACAUUUUGGUGCCGAAACCCGGGACCCUCAUACCCGCCAUCUGGCUGACGGAGGAAGACGUGCUGCAUUGUUGACAAGCCAGCGUCCAUUAGGAGGACCUGGAAAAGAAAGUCCUGGGAAGAGAACUUCUUCGCUGGGCCAGCAUCUUAGGUCUGCCUUCGUCUGACAGAGGUGGUUUGACGGGACCCGGCAAUGCAACAAACCAGGAGACACGUCGACAACCCCAUCAAUCCAGGAGACUGGGUCUACAUCAAGGUCAUCAAAAGAAAGAACUGGGCCAGCUAUGGUGGGAGGGACCAUUCCAAGUCUUGCUGACUACCCCCCUCCGCAGUGAAGAUCGCUGAACGACCCAGCUGGAUUCACCUUAGCCAAUGCAAGCUACAAGGAGUGCUGGACCCCUCAUUUCGGGACGGUGGCGAAGUCUGCGAACAACGAUCCCAACUCCGCUAGGCGGGGGUAUGUCUCGGUGUUCCUGUCAUCUUAGUAGCAACGGGGCUCCACAUGCUAGGUGGAUCCUCUGCUGCGUUGUGGUUGGAGCAUGCUAUAGUCUAUGGACACAUCUGAACAGACCAAGUGAUAAUGUUGACCGUGGGAAACGAUGGUCACACGAUGAGAACUUUGAGGACUGGUCAUGAGACCCCAGAAACCCAUACGAAACCAACGCUUGGUACCGGUAUGUGAAGGUCACUGUGAGAGCGCACACACAGGUGGGAUGUUAUGUCUGUGUUUCCAAAAACUCCCCUUGCUCCACACAAGUUCACUUGGAGGCCAGAGCAAUGAAUGUCACUGAAGCGAAAUGUAUGGCAUCCAUGGGAGGAGUUUGAUAUCAACACCGUACUGUCAGUCAGUGACGCUACCCCUACCGCCCUGGACUCGCAGGAAUGAAUCUGUGAUCAAACUAUUUUGGAUUAAUCCCAAUGUGACUGUUGGAGGACGACAGAUGCCACAAGUGGCCUAAACCAGGACGCUACCUGGAAUGGACUACACGUGUUUCAUCCAAGAAAACAAGACCCACGGAUGCAUUCACGACAACUGCUCUCCAGGAGGGAACUGGAUGGGAGCUUUGGACAUCACCGCUGUGUGCCAGGAUGGGAGAGCCAUUUCAAGGUGUAAGGGCUCUCCUGCCAACAUGGCUGUACCAUUGGACGGGUCCUACUUCAUUCGGAACGGAUCGUGGCUUUAUUUAUAUUUUCUUAUUGAUAGCAUUCUGGUCGCCUAAGGCAGAGGGACCGUGUGAGACUUUUCCUGCGAUUUAACAUCGGCCAGCAGGUUUUUAGAUCACACAAUAAGUUUGAACUGGAGUAUUGAGGGAAAACCUCUUCUUCGCUGGAAGUUAUUGCUAUCAUUGGUUGUUUUUGUCAUGUUUCACCCUACUCGUUCCCCAGCACGUCCGCUGUCGUCUCAGUUUUUUAUUGAUCUUUUUUGUUAUUGGUUUUAUUAUUUUUACUGUUCUUCUUUAUAUUUUCUUCCUUGUGUUUGGUUGAUCGGGUUCACAUAAUCAUAUGAUAAAACAGGAGGGAUAUGUCAGGGUUUUCCAAACUAUCUUGAUCUAUGAUUAUGUUGGAAUGUAUGUAACCAGUAAUAAAUAACCUAGCUUGUUCCAUCCUACACAAUGUCGUAAAACAUCCCCUGCUCUGCUAAUCUAGAGGUCAAGGGCUUUUUAACUUGUCUAUUCAGUCUACUAUCACCCCCACCCUUUUUCUCUUAAUAAAGAUGUGGGAAGCGAGAGUCAGACUUCAUUCGACCAUCGCUGUAAACACAGCGACGAGUGAACUCUCCGCCUGCAGGUGCCCAAAACGA